GAUUUUUCUCUUCCAAGCAGGCUUCAUAUGAACAAGUAGACAACUCUUCAAGCCAUGCUGAGGCGAAGCAGAGUUCUCUAUUUCACAUUUCUCAUUCAUGCAGUCGCAGCAUGCGAGUGGGGCAAAUAUGGGGAUAAUUGUGACAAACGCUGCUCCAAAAACUGCCAAGUUAACCUACAGAGGAACCUCACACACUGUAACAAGGAAACUGGAGAGUGCUCCGAUGGCUGCAUCACUGGGUGAUAUGCUGCUCAAUGUGACCAACACUGCGGCAAGAACUGUCUGGACAACGUCUGCAAUCAUGGGAAUGGACACUGCACAAGGGGAUGCAUUGGAAACCAAAUAGGGGAUUUCUACAUCAAGGUCAAAACAGAUGAAACAACAGGACAGUCAACGGCACACGUCGCAGUGAUCAUCACUAUCUCCCUUGUGGCAAUUAGAGUUAUCAUCGCCGUAACUGUCGUCAUAACACGUCGACGCCAGGGAGACAACAGAAGAAAGUCAACCCGGAGGCCAAAAGCUGGUACUGACCCUGAAAAUGCUGAAGGCGUGCCUUUACUGCCAAGAUAUAAUGUGCUUUCCCACAUCAAUAAUCAAAGGAAAGAUGCGUAUGCAGGUGUCAUGGAGAGAGGUAUGCUGGAGUGGGAGAUUCAGAAGACAGAAGAAUUAUUUGAAGAGACUGCUAUCUACCAUAAAGUCAAGGGACGUUUAGAGAACUUUAGACAUGUGACAAUAUCUGGUGCUUCAGGGGACGGAAAGACGUCAAUGGCGCUGAUUUUGGGGUCAGAAUACCAGAAGAAAGGGUAU
rnacentral:lncRNA from 1 species